GAUGAAGAACGUAGCGAAAUGCGAUAAGUAAUGUGAAUUGCAGAAUUCAGUGAAUCAUCGAAUCUUUGAACGCACCUUGCACCCUUUGGCAUUCUGAAGGUUAUGCUCGUUUGAGUGUCAUUGUACUCUCACACUCCCGAUCUUUGCAUUGGGAGCAGUGGACUUGGGUUUGCUGCUUCACCGUCGCUUACCUCAAAUAGGUUAGUGCAACUCUUGGUUGGACAUAGUACGGCGUGAUAAGUGUUCUUCGCCGGUGCCUCGCAAAGAGGGUGGCCGAUCGGGAUGUUGUGCUCCAAACCGUCUUCGGACAAUCUCUGACGACUUGACCUCAAAUCGAGUAAGACUACCCGCUGAACUUAAGCAUAUCAAUAAGCGGAGGA
rnacentral:misc_RNA from 1 species